rnacentral:lncRNA from 1 species
CUUACUCAAGUCUGUAACAUUGCCAUGGCUAAAUAGAAAUUUCACUUUCCUUGCCAAGUGAAAGAAAGGAGGAAUUUUGAUGUAAUCAAUGCUUGGUAAGGUCUAGACAGUAGUAUCAAUCAUACUUCCUAUGUACAAAAUUUUCUUCACUUGGUGUUGGAAGCAAUUGUUAUUGUUGCAGUCCUGUUUUAUUUAUACCUAGAGCAGGUUCAGGAUUGAGAUGUUGUUAAUAUUUUGGUUUAGUUAAUUAUUGAAAUUCAUAUUCUUGUCUUAAGAACCAGUUUCAAUGACUUUGUUUGAAUGUUCAAAUAUUUGUGCAGGAUAUUCGUAUGCUCUAAACCUUCUGUAUAUAUUUCUCAACUUUUGAUGAGCUUACAAAGCAUGGACUCUGUAUUCUGAUUGCUGCAUGUUUCUACUCUUUCUUCCUUUGUUUUAAAGCAUGAACUCUGUAUUCUGAUUGCUGCAUGUUUCUACUCUUUCUUCCUUUGUUUUAAAGCAUGAACUCUGUAUUCUGAUUGCUGCAUGUUUCUACUCUUUCUUCCUUUGUUUUAAAGCAUGAACUCUGUAUUCUGAUUGCUGCAUGUUUCUACUCUUUCUUCCUUUGUUUUAAAGCAUGAACUCUGUAUUCUGAUUGCUGCAUGUUUCUACUCUUUCUUCCUUUGUUUUAAAGCAUGAACUCUGUAUUCUGAUUGCUGCAUGUUUCUACUCUUUCUUCCUUUGUUUUAAAGCAUGAACUCUGUAUUCUGAUUGCUGCAUGUUUCUACUCUUUCUUCCAUGUGCAAAGGAAGGAUUAUAAGCCAAUAUUCAUAAAAAUAACCAUUCCAUAGUCAUAUUAUAAGUUAUAAAGUUUAAGUCAAUAGAUUUCACAAUAAUUUGUAUGCAACCGUAACUGCAAUUGUGGGAAAUAAAUUAGGAUAAAUAUCAUCUCAACCAUAACUGCCAUUGGAUUAAUUAUAGUCAUAUUAUAAGUUAUAAAGUUCAAUUUAAUGGUAAUUACGUCAUUUUUUUAUUUUUGUUAAAUCAAGUUUUUUUUUUUAUGUUUGAGUUUUGUGUUGUGAAUUUGAUAAAAGUUUAUUUCUGUUAACCAUUGUUUCUCUCACAUGGUUGGAAAUUAACAAGCAAUUUUUUUCCCUUUUCCAUGUAUUCAUUUGCAGAUUUGAUCAAUGUGUUUGAAGUUUCUUUUUCCUCAACUUCACUUGUAUUCUAACCCAUCCACUAUUGAAUGGAGAAUGGAGAAGCUACUGUUGUGUUAACGUAAUUGCACUACUUAUGUUCAAAGAGUGGAGGCAAUCAUCCUUUUCAUUUUAGAUUCUAGAAAUGUUAAAUUUAGCCACAACUAGUAGGCAUCUGAUUAGAUGUGGCAGAAAUUUUUAUGUAUUUAAUUUAGAUUAUUCAGUUAUGAGAGUGAGAUUUCUCAUCUCUUGUUUGUUGGAGUGUUGGAAUUUGUAAUGUGUACU